GAUGAACGCUGGCGGCGUGCCUAAUACAUGCAAGUCGAGCGAACAGACGAGGAGCUUGCUCCUCUGACGUUAGCGGCGGACGGGUGAGUAACACGUGGAUAACCUACCUAUAAGACUGGGAUAACUUCGGGAAACCGGAGCUAAUACCGGAUAAUAUAUUGAACCGCAUGGUUCAAUAGUGAAAGACGGUUUUGCUGUCACUUAUAGAUGGAUCCGCGCCGCAUUAGCUAGUUGGUAAGGUAACGGCUUACCAAGGCGACGAUGCGUAGCCGACCUGAGAGGGUGAUCGGCCACACUGGAACUGAGACACGGUCCAGACUCCUACGGGAGGCAGCAGUAGGGAAUCUUCCGCAAUGGGCGAAAGCCUGACGGAGCAACGCCGCGUUAGUGAUGAAGGUCUUCGGAUCGUAAAACUCUGUUAUUAGGGAAGAACAAAUGUGUAAGUAACUAUGCACGUCUUGACGGUACCUAAUCAGAAAGCCACGGCUAACUACGUG
rnacentral:rRNA from 1 species